rnacentral:pre_miRNA from 1 species
GAUUUCAACUGAAAAAGUCAUCAACAAUAAAGUUGUAUAACUCAUCAAGAUUUAUAACUUUUAUUUUGAUCAUUUCUUCAUCCGAUAAAGUGAUAGUAACAUUAUUCACAAAAUUUACAUUUCUCCCAUAUGGUUCUAUAAACUAAGAGAGAUGCAAAUUUUGUAAAAAAUGUUACUAUCACUUUGUCGGAUGAAGAAAUGAUAAAAAAAAGUUGUAUGUCUUGAUGAGUUCUACAACUUUUAUGUUCAUGACUUUUUCAACUGAAAUU